UACAGAGGGGGCAAGCGUUGUUCGGAAUUACUGGGCGUAAAGGGCGCGUAGGCGGCCUUCUAAGUCGAACGUGAAAUCCCCGGGCUCAACCCGGGAACUGCGUCCGAUACUGGAAGGCUUGAAUCCGGGAGAGGGAUGUGGAAUUCCAGGUGUAGCGGUGAAAUGCGUAGAUAUCUGGAGGAACACCGGUGGCGAAGGCGGCAUCCUGGACCAUUACUGACACUGAAAAGCGAAAGCCAGGG
rnacentral:rRNA from 1 species